CAUGAGAUCUGGAAAAGCCACCUGCACCACUCAUUUCUGCCAGCAAAUCAAGCUUGCUGACAGAAAUGGUCUAGUGAGCCCCUGCUCACCCUCUCAAUUUAGCAUGGAAAUUGGAGCUUCCAGCUGAUUAUUGUUGAACGGAGGUGGCAAAGUGACUAAUAAAUGUGGGCAUGGUGUUUGUGAUGGGAGCUGCCGCGGCACAGUGCAGUGGAGCGCCUUGCCUGAAGUUGCUCUGCAAAUCCAUCACAGAGCCUGGAAUGAAAUCCACUGCAUUUGAGCAAUGUGGGAAGUGGCACAGCAGGCAGAAAUGCCUAAUGCACAACAAGCUGAAAAGAAAAUCCAGGAAAACUGGUUGUUACCUCAGAAAUAAAGGUCUCAUGGACUUCAACACAGGUUUUCAAGUCGCCUCACCCAGCCUUGUCCCUGGAGGAUGUUCAGUGGAGGGAGCUGGGCAUGGGGACGUGGUGCUGGGGUGUCCCCAGGAGAGCCAGGCAGUGUGGCCAGAGCCCUGGGAGCCAGCCCUCGGCACCCCACCACUGCAGCUGCAAGCACCAGAGGAGCUGCCUCAGCCCUCCUGGCGAGCACGCCAAGCAUGCUGCAGCCUCACCCUGUGUCAGUGCGUGGCCAUUGGAAGAGCCUGGACCAAAAUGCUCACUUAG
rnacentral:lncRNA from 1 species